UGAAGUUUGUCCAACCUGGGUACGUGGCCUAAUCAUAUGAAGACAUGUGUCCACAAUUAGUAUUAAAUUAAAUUGGGCAUUGCCCAACAAUUUUUGGGUAUGACCCAUUUUUUUCUCUCUCAUCUCUCCAAAAAUCUGCACAGUCCGAUGGUUAUCAACAGCUCAUCUUCUUCAACUUCAGCUAAACCUCGACUCUUCCAAAAGCCCUUCAGUUUCUCUCUUUCCCAAUCACAACAAAACCUUCGAUAUAUCAUCUCUGAUAAACACCAAUCAAACUGAAAUCGUGAAGGACAAAACCCUAGAUCCAGUUUCCCCUGUUUUGGAUCCACCACAACUUCCUCAAUCUCCACUGCCUUUGCCUCCCUUGCUGCCGCCGCCACCACCGUCGGUGCAAUGGGAAUGAGACGGAGGUUAUGGAAAGUGAUUAAGGGGGUUCUAGGGUUAGGGUUAAGAAGUUUGGGAUAUGUCGGAGCGCUCUUCUCGGUUUACAGUGGUGGAACAUUUGGGGAGUGAAGGAGAGAGAGUGUAGUCAGUGAUGGAGACGGGUUGGGUAGGGGGAGGGAGAGGGGCUGCAGAUCAGAGACAAAGAGAGAGGGAAAGGCUGUAGAUCAGAGGAAGAAGAAGAAGACGCAAAUCAAAUGAGAAGGAAAAGAAAAAAAAAAAAAAAAAAAAAGAAGUAAAAAGACGGGUUAUACACGAAAAUUGAUGGGCAAUGCCCCAUUUAAUUUAAUACUAAUUGUGGACACGUGUCUUCAUAUGAUUUGGCCACGUACCCAGGUUAGACAAACUUCAUCCAACUUAGGUUGGAUGCAAGUAUUGUCCUAUAUAUAUUGCAUCUAUUCGAUGGGGAAAAGGGUGCAGCCGAGAUAGAGAUAAGAAAGGAGCAAGUGGAGGAAAGAAAAAAAAAAUGGGGCGGGACCCACUAGGAUUUGUUUGGCCAAUUUUCCUUGGUUUUGAAUUGUUCACGUGGCUUUAUUUUGGUGGUAUGGAUUAGUUGUUUGUUUAAAAUGAUAAAAAGAAGAAAGGAGAUAAGAAGGCAAGUGGUUGACGAAAUUGAAAAAGAAAAGAAAGAAAAAUGUAAUAAUUUAGUGGGGUCCACCAGAGACUUUUGGGCCAAAAUUAUUUGUGCUUUAUGCACGUGGGUUUGUUGGCUGAUUUUUGUGCGAGGUCAGUGGAUUUGCAUUAUAUAUUUGGCUGUUGUGUGUACUAAGUAUACAAAGAAGAGAAAGAUAGAAAAAAAUUAGAGAAAGACAGAGAGUUUGAGAAUAGAGAGUGUGCCGAGAUGGACAGAAGUGAGCUGAGAGAGAAGUCCGACAGGUUGCAAAGGAGGCUGAAGUUUGAUGCUCCAAUGAUCCAGUGAGGAAAACUCUUUUUCAGUUUUCAGGUACCGAAGAUGAAUGGAGAUUGCUAGUUUCGGGCUUAGGUGGAAGAGUCGGCGUUGCAGGAUUUAUUUUAUUUAUUUGGAGGAUUUUUGUAUAUUUGAGGAAAUUGAUUUUGUAUAAAAGAGGACAUUUUUUUUUUUUUUCAUGGGAGUAUUUUGAUGUAUUUGAAUUUGAAUGAAUUGAGGAUUUUAUUAGAA